CUCUGGAGAAAUACGGAGCAUGCGCCGUUGCAAAAAAACUCUGCCUGCACGGCCGCGCACCAACUCCAAUUAAGUUAACACUGGGUUAACACCAUAGACUGUAUAUAAAAAGUCGGUUAACACCGACUCAACCAACCAACAUCUUAUUCGCCUUCGUAGUAGGCUACCGUUUAACUCCAGAGUAGGCAUUCAGACUUUGUCAACCCUGAUUUUGCCAGAUAACCCCGAGUUAACUCUGAGUAGGUUGAACUCACUUGGCCACAGGCCACUGGUAAGAAACUACUCCAAGAUUUCUGGCUAAGGGAUUAGCAUAAGUUUCCAGUUCAACCAGGUUGCAUGAUUUGAGUUCAAUGAGCUGAAGAACCAAGUAGCAGUAACAUCCGAUUUUGUAAAAUUUUAUUGUAGGAUGUUUUGUGGCAUACAGUUAUUUCUUUUUGCAAUGCAUUUGUGUAGGAGCCAUUUAUGUUUAUUGUUGGCAUGAUAUUUUAUUUUGUUUGAAUAUAUUUAUAUUAGCAUUUUGGACACUGGGUGGCAGUGAUUAGAUGCACAUGGUUGUAUAUAGAGGGCACAGGUGACAGGAAGUGGUAGGCACAGGUAGGGGGAGCACAAACAGUUCUCACCAGACCACAGAGCCAUACUACAGAGCAGAAUACACGCAAACAACUGGAAACAAGAUAAGAAAUCAACCGGUAUGUUCAUCUGUUUGUACUAUUUACCACUGCAAUAAACCACAAACCUCAACUGCAAUAAUCUCUCUGGAAAAUCUUGUGUGUCUGCGUAAAAACUUCACUCCUACCUGUGCAUGAUGGCAAAGAGAUUGGAAAUAAAGCUAAAGGUAAAGCAAGGAAAGAUUGCCAUUACAAAUUUGUGAAGAGUUGUUGUAAUUGUUUGAAAGCCACUUUAUCUAUAUGAUUUUGGAUAAAUAAUAAAAAUGUUGAUUAUAAACAAAUAGAAUUAAAUUUUCUUAUAAUUAUUCAAGAUCUAAAUUUUAUUUUUAUUUUUUUUUCAGGAGAGCUUCGACCAGAGCAGUUCUAAAAUGAGCAGGGGCACAGCUGGAGGCCAGGGAGCUUAUAGUCAAGAUGAAAGGUCCAAAAUUAGGCUUAAAAUUUCCGUCAAUAGUCUGGAAGGGACCUCAUCCAGGGGACAAGUUGAUGACAUUAUAUGGUUAACCAUAUCAUUGAGAGCAGUAAGAUAUAGUGAUUUGAGGAACUGAAGGAUAAUGACCACAUGAUCUAUGGGUCAAAGGCUCUGGGACAGAUUGGUUUUGGGGCCAGCAGCUAACAAUCUGGGAUCUAAUUUUUUCAAUUUUAUCAAUAAGAAAUCUUUUAAACUGCUUGCAGAGGUCAGAUGAUGCAAGCAAGUUGUUGUUAGGAGGGGCACCAACAAUCCGGUCUAGUGUUAAACAAUACUUUUGGGUUUGGGGCAUUCUUAGUGAUCAAGGUGGGAACGUAAGCUGCUUGUACAUCAUUAACUGCAGCAUUGUAUUUCUUCAUUAAGGUCUUCAUGUACUCAUACCAAACAUGAAGUUUGCAGGCCUUCUGCUUCCUUAUGAGUUCUUCUGUCAGCGGCACACAUUUGGUCUAACAGCUCUGAUAGAAACACAGGAGACAGUGAUGGCAGCUGUGGGAGGAGAGGCUCGUCUCAACUGUCUGCUGAUGCAACCUAGAGAUGUUCUUCAGGUCACAUGGCAGAAACCUUUAACUGAGGGGGAGAAGACUGUUGCCACCUACAACAAACACUUUGAGCUGCAUGAACCUGUUCUACAUGUUGGAGAAUCAAACUCUGCUAAAGAGGCACUUGUGUCCUGCUCGGCCACAGGUCGACCUGCUCCCACAGUAACAUUAAGUGUCCUGCCACACAACGGCCACUUUGCUAACCACAGCUCUGUGGGAGUCACCAACACCAAUGGUACAGUCACUGUCACCACUACAGCUGUGCUGUCUCGUCUCCAUCAUAACAGAACACAGGUUGGAUGUGCAGUGCAAGUGCGCUCUGCUCCUCAGAUAGAGGUGUUGGUGAUGAUUCCUGAGGUCAAACAGUCGUCUGCUGCUGGUUCUGAUGAAUCUGAUGACUGUAGUCGCAGUUGGACUUCAAUAAUUUUAUUGUCAGUGGUAGGGACUGGUGGUUGUGUUGCUGCAGUCAUCUUUUUCUGGCAACAUCAGAGCAGUCUGACACACGGGGACAUUGAGGAGAAUGAGAUGCAUCAAACUACAAACGGAGACACUCAGGAGUAAUACUCUCAUUAUACUUUUGUCACACAGAGACUCUGGAUAUCAAGACACAAUCAAUAGAAGGCCCUAACGAAACCAGGGAACAGAAAUCUAACGAACGACAACCUAAAGGCAUCAUCUUCAACCCAAAGAAGACUUUGUUUUGACUAAUGUAAUUGACUCAGAAUAACCCACAAGAGCCAGUACUGAGCCAGACCUGAACGGAAACUGCAUGGGAGGCAAAUAAUCCUGCUUUGUAAAUGACAUAAAAGAUUACACUGCAAACCCUGUACAACAUUCAUCUAUUUAUUUAACAACUUGGUGAGAGAAAACAUGUUUCCCAGUAGUGUAAAUAAACGAGUAAAUUAAAAGUGUAAAUAUGACAAAAGUUGUGGGAGAAACAUGUGAAGUGACUCUAAAUGAAAACUUGGGUUGAGUUCAGUGGUCAUGUAUUAGUUAAUCACAUUAUCUAUUAAUUUUAUUUAUUUUAAUGUACACUACCUUCUACUCUUGUCUGUUCCCAUGUUAAUUUUGCACUGUUCUGUACUAUGCCACUUUGUGUGUAAAUUUGUCAAUGCUUGCUGCCUUGUAGUCGACUACUGUUCUGAAAUAAUACUGGUAUUUGUUUAUUAUAGUAGCAUUUGUAUAGAAUGAAUACUUUAACCUGAGGGAACCUAUGUAGGUAAUGGUGAAUAUUCUACUAUGUAUAUGCUCUAAACAGUAAUAUUUCUUUCUGUUUAGAAAUAAAAAUAUUUCUGCAGAACAUACACACAAACACAAGUUAACAAAUCUAGCCUAAAGUCUGUUUUAGUGCCCUGGAGAAUGAACACUGGGGUCCUGUCAACAACAAAGUCAGCCAGUAUGUCCUUUUUCCUUCAUUUCACACUGUGUUCAACUCUGCAUGCUGUUGCCUGUCUCCCCGUCUGGGCUUCAAUAAACAAUGCUCUGUAAGAC